CUUGACGCUGGCGGCAGGCCUAACACAUGCAAGUCGAGCGAGUGGCGGACGGGUGAGUAAUGUCUGGGGAUCUGCCCGAUAGAGGGGGAUAACUAAUGGAAACGGUGGCUAAUACCGCAUACUAUCGGAUGAACCCAUAGGGGAUGAGCUAGUAGGUGGGGUAAAGGCUCACCUAGGCGACGAUCUCUAGCUGGUCUGAGAGGAUGAGCAGACAAACUGGGACUGAGAGACGGCCCAGAAUCCUACGGGAGGCAGCAGUGGGGAAUAUUGCACAAUGGGCGCAAGCCGGAUGCAGCAUUGCCGCGUGUAUGAAGAAGGCCUUAGGGUUGGAAAGUACUUUCAGCGGGGAGGCGUUACCCGCAGUAGAGGCACCGGCUAACUCCGUGCCAGCAGCCGCGGUAAUUC
rnacentral:rRNA from 1 species